GACGAACGCUGGCGGCGUGCUUAACACAUGCAAGUCGAACGGAAAGGCCCUGCUUUUGUGGGGUGCUCGAGUGGCGAACGGGCGAGUAACACGUGAGUAACCUGCCCUUGACUUUGGGAUAACUUCAGGAAACUGGGGCUAAUACCGGAUAGGAGCUCCUGCUGCAUGGUGGGGGUUGGAAAGUUUCGGCGGUUGGGGAUGGACUCGCGGCUUAUCAGCUUGUUGGUGGGGUAGUGGCUUACCAAGGCUUUGACGGGUAGCCGGCCUGAGAGGGUGACCGGCCACAUUGGGACUGAGAUACGGCCCAGACUCCUACGGGAGGCAGCAGUGGGGAAUAUUGCACAAUGGGCGGAAGCCUGAUGCAGCAACGCCGCGUGCGGGAUGACGGCCUUCGGGUUGUAAACCGCUUCCGCCUGUGACGAAGCGUGAGUGACGGUAAUGGGUAAAGAAGCACCGGCUAACUACGUGCCAGCAGCCGCGGUGAUACGUAGGGUGCGAGCGUUGUCCGGAUUUAUUGGGCGUAAAGGGCUCGUAGGUGGUUGAUCGCGUCGGAAGUGUAAUCUUGGGGCUUAACCCUGAGCGUGCUUUCGAUACGGGUUGACUUGAGGAAGGUAGGGGAGAAUGGAAUUCCUGGUGGAGCGGUGGAAUGCGCAGAUAUCAGGAGGAACACCAGUGGCGAAGGCGGUUCUCUGGGCCUUUCCUGACGCUGAGGAGCGAAAAGCGUGGGGAGCGAACAGGCUUAGAUACCCUGGUAGUCCACGCUGUAAACGGUGGGUACUAGGUGUGGGGUCCAUUCCACGGGUUCCGUGCCGUAGCUAACGCUUUAAGUACCCCGCCUGGGGAGUACGGCCGCAAGGCUAAAACUCAAAGGAAUUGACGGGGCCCCGCACAAGCGGCGGAGCAUGCGGAUUAAUUCGAUGCAACGCGUAGAACCUUACCUGGGUUUGACAUGGAUCGGGAGUGCUCAGAGAUGGGUGUGCCUCUUUUGGGGUCGGUUCACAGGUGGUGCAUGGCUGUCGUCAGCUCGUGUCGUGAGAUGUUGGGUUAAGUCCCGCAACGAGCGCAACCCUUGUUCACUGUUGCCAGCACGUUAUGGUGGGGACUCAGUGGAGACCGCCGGGGUCAACUCGGAGGAAGGUGGGGAUGACGUCAAGUCAUCAUGCCCCUUAUGUCCAGGGCUUCACGCAUGCUACAAUGGCUGGUACAGAGAGUGGCGAGCCUGUGAGGGUGAGCGAAUCUCGGAAAGCCGGUCUCAGUUCGGAUUGGGGUCUGCAACUCGACCUCAUGAAGUCGGAGUCGCUAGUAAUCGCAGAUCAGCAACGCUGCGGUGAAUACGUUCCCGGG
rnacentral:rRNA from 1 species